rnacentral:rRNA from 1 species
CCUUUGACGUUAGCGGCGGACGGGUGAGUAACACGUGGGUAACCUACCUAUAAGACUGGGAUAACUUCGGGAAACCGGAGCUAAUACCGGAUAAUAUUUCGAACCGCAUGGUUCGAUAGUGAAAGANGGUUUUGCUAUCACUUAUAGAUGGACCCGCGCCGUAUUAGCUAGUUGGUAAGGUAACGGCUUACCAAGGCGACGAUACGUAGCCGACCUGAGAGGGUGAUCGGCCACACUGGAACUGAGACACGGUCCAGACUCCUACGGGAGGCAGCAGGU